rnacentral:misc_RNA from 1 species
UUUACCCUUCUUCUACUGUACACACUAGUCCUCUUCUUACUUCCUCCCUCGUUCUCAUCCAACAGCUCUACUCUUUUCCUCACCAAUUCCUCCUUCUCGGCUCUCUGCUUUGUCGCCUUGCGCUCGUCCUCCUUUGAGAAGAAACUACCUGCUCAACUUUCCCCUUGGGACUCUUCUUUUCAGUUUCAACAACGGAGCCAAGCUCACCGUUAUCGACACAAUGCAACGGCUGAA